GCGUCUGUAGCCUAGUUGGUAAAGGCAGCACUCUAGUUGCUGAGGUCGUGAGUUCGAAUCUCACCAGACACA
rnacentral:tRNA from 1 species